AAAAAGGGCAUGGCUACUUUCUUUGACAACACUUCCUGAAAUUUGCACAAACAACUUCUGCUUUUCCCUCAUCAGGAGUAACAUGGUCAUAUGAUGGCACCCAGUUACAGUGGAAACCAGGAAAUAUAGUUUUUAUCCUGGGCAGCCAAAUUUGCGGAUUCAGUUGCUAAACGAAGAAGAGGGGCAUGGACAAGGAAAGCCAGUCAUCAGUCUUUGCCACACAAAUAAGAAGCUUUGAAGAAAACCACCCUUUUAUGCUUGACCAAAAAAGUAUUGCUUUUCUACAGAUUUGAACUCUAAACUCAAUUUCUGACUUCAAGGUAUGUACAAAUGAAUAAAUGUUAACGGUGACAGUUUUCAUUGGAUUAGAAACUGUCUUGUAUUGGUUUAGGCUUUCAUAACAAAAUA
rnacentral:lncRNA from 1 species